GCCUGGGUGGCUCAGUGGGUUAAGCGUCUGACUCUUGAUUACGGCUCAGGUCAUGAUCUCACAGUUUGUGGGUUCGAGCCCCACACCUGGCU
rnacentral:tRNA from 1 species